UACGUAGGUGGCGAGCGUUGACCGGAAUUAUUGGGCGUAAAGCGCGCGCAGGCGGCCUCUUAAGUCUGAUGUGAAAGCCCCCGGCUCAACCGGGGAGGGCCGUUGGAUACUGGGAGGCUAGAGUAUAGGAGAGAAGAGUGGAAUUCCACGUGUAGCGGUGAAAUGCGUAGAGAUGUGGAGGAACACCAGUGGCGAAGGCGACUUUUUGGCCUAUAACUGACGCUGAGGCGCGAAAGCUAGGGGAGCAAACAGG
rnacentral:misc_RNA from 1 species